AUGGUUGGCAUUUUUUCAUACCUUGGCUUUUGUGGUCUUUCCUUCAAAUCACUGCAGCUCAUUUUUCAUUUGUGGCACCAGGUCAAUGGCCAAGACAUGCAGGAGGUCAGCCACCAUGAGGCUGUCAGCAUCCUGAGGAAUGCUGGGAGCUGCAUAAAAAUGAAAGUGCUACGGGAGAGAAGCAUGCCAGUGGAGCCUUGGCUGCAUGAGAGGAAUGACACCAUGGAAACAGCAGACCCCCAGGUCAGCCAAGAGUGGGAUGUUGCCAUGAGCAAUAACAGAUCAAGUGGCCCACAGUCCUCCACUGAUCCCAUGCUGGACUGCAGCCCAAUGACCAACAGGAUGGAAGCUACUGUCUGCAAUGGAAAUGGACUGGAUGAUCCAAUACAGGACUUACGGCUGACAAAAGACAUGGAGACCUUCAAAAACAAUGCCCUACAGGUUGUGAAAAAUACUAUGACGGUAUGUGAGAAGGAUAGAAUGUGUUUCUGUGAGGAUGUGUGUGUUUUAACAAUGAAAUCUCAGGAUUUUUUUUUUCAUCAGUGUUCUGUCCUUCAUUCGGAGGCAAUGCAUACCUCUAUACAAAACAGUCCUGUCCAGUUGUCCUUUUCUCAUUGAGUCUUGGUGAAGAAAAGUCCCUCUAAAGCAAUUUACAAUAGACUAUCUCAAAGAAAAAAUAAAUAAAUAAAAAUUACAGAAACUAUUAUCUUCACUUGUGUAUGCAGAGAGGAAAUUAAUCUGAGUAUCUACCUUGAAAGAAAUCAGUUCUCAUCUUGUUUUCCAGAAAAAUUACACUUGUGCUUCUCUGAAUUUAUAUUGUUUUAAAUUUGAAAUGAAACACAGCCGAGAGAAAAUGAGAAAAAUGUAGGGCGGGACUUGAUUUUGUCCACUUGGAAUUGAUUGGAUUGCUGGACUGUUGUUAUUUGCUGAUUUGCUGCGAUGUGACAGGUUGCUAGAGGGAAGGGCACAUGAAUAAAAAAAAAUAAUAAUGAGCACAGGUAAAGCAUUUAUACUAAAUAAUGCAAUAUAUAAAAUAAGAAUAAUCAAUUUUGAUUUCAUUGUGACUAAAGGAUAUUUAGUUCAGUAUAUGGGUAAAAAUAAAUUACAUAGUUUAGUUGAAAGAGAAUUUUUAUGGAGCCCCUAAUGAAAGAAAAAUAUAUUUUGGUGCUUUUGUGUUCACUCACACAACUUGGCAUGUAUAAAACGCAAAACUGGUGCUGGAAAUAACAUGAGAUAUGAGGAAAAACUUACACUUCAAUGCUUUUGUAAUGCAGUUUCAAAACUUUUGAGAGAGAACGCAAAAGCAUUUAAAUAUAUGUUUUCCUCCCAUCAUAUUUUUUUUUUCAUCUCUAUGUCACCAUGGGGGCUCCGUAGAUUUUUCUACCUGGUAUGAGCACCCUUGACAUCUCUCUGAAAAUAUGCUAAUGACCUUGAUAUUUUCCUCCCUAUAUGCUGCAGUGUAAGCCAUUGUAAAAACAUGACUUUUUAUUCUCUAGUGAAAAUACUGAAAAAUGUAUUCACCUGAGUAGCAAACCUGCAUGAGAUAUUAAAUUGUACUUAACUAUAUUUAGUGCCUUUUCACUACCAGCGCAAGUGUUGGGCAUUAGCAAAGUUUUCAAUAGAACAGCUUCCUUUGUGUGGAACUGUUAGUGUAGAGACCUGAUCUUACAGAUCCCAGAGUCUGUCUGGGAUUACAUGAAGAGACACAAAAAACUAUUAAAUGCAUUAGAAUGUGGGAACAUCUCAUCUGCUCAGCUGUUUUAAUGGCCAGAGGUGCUCACACCAAAUGUUGAUUUGAUUUGAUAGAAGUUAACUUAAAAGCAGAAAAGAGGAAAAAUAUUUUUUUUUUGUUUUACCUAAUAAGAGCUAUCAGGAAAGACUAAACUAAGUAAGUGGCUAAUUUUAAAUCUUGACAGCUCUGUGAAACCGGUGACUUCUCUUUUUCCCUCUCUUCUCAAUUUAAUGUGACCCUUUGACAGAUACCUCGGAUUAUUCUGACUCACCCCUCUACCUCAGAUGAGGACGUGGAGCCCCUGACGCAGGGCCCAGAUGACGGAGAUUUUGAUUCUGACUUCAGCGACUCGGACAGUCACAUCUACUCGGACUGCUUGAACAGCGCUUUCUAUCCUCUGUGAAAGAUAGAGAAGUACACAGACUCCAGGUUCUUCAUCUCUUUUCAUGCUUUUCGUUUAGUGUGUCAUUUGAUAUUAAAUGACCCUAAUAUACUGUUUCAAUUUCUUAUAGCCAUUUUUUUUCAUGUUCCUGAGAUUAUUAUAUUUAACAAAGAGCAUGUGGUUAUUAGCAUGACAGGAAAUGGCUUUAUCCACAGGCAUAAACAUGCUAAAUAGAUCUCAGAUUUGCAUGGAAGCGCUGAUGGUAGUCUAAAUAAUGGAUCAGGAUACACUGGAGUGUGAUUCAUUAUAUUUACACAACCCAACAGCACAAAUAGGCAAUGUCAACUGAGAUGAACAGAGAACUUAAUUUAACUGUAGAUUUCAAUCAGGUAGCUGCCAGACUCAAUUUUCCAGAUAAUUUUUGUGCUUUGGAAAGAUAACAAAUGUGUUUCUUUUUUUCCAGAAAAUAAAUUAUCGGACAAGGUUUAAUACCCUCUCUCUCUUUGUGAAUUCAGGUGUGCCUGUGUCCUUCGGUAAAGUGAAAUUGUUCUAGCUGUGGUCCACAAUCGCCGGAGCAGAAAACGAGUGGCGCGCGAUCGAUACUUCAGGCAAAGUCCACAGUAACAUGAUGCACUGUUUAGAACACCAUUGUGUGAAAGUGAUGUAGAGGAAGUGGGAAGUAAAUAGAUCAUAUUUUUCUAAAAUGUUACUCCUUUAAAUUGUACACGCUCUUAAAUAGACCUUACUUGCUUUGUGUAUGCUUCAUUUAAAUGUUUUUACUUGUAUCAUUUAUAAAUUGCCAAAAACAAAAUAAACUUUAAAAAUGUCAUUGUGCCGGUCAGGUGUGUAAUAGUAUGAAUGAUAUCUUUGAAGCGUAGAGCUGUUGUGAAUAUUUUGACAUGGAUAUCCAGCCUAGCAGCACAGAAGGCAUCCGAAUCACUGAACCACGGUGAUCUAUGAAGACCACUGACAGAUCACAGACUUGUUAAAUACUGUUUAAUCGCAUUUAAUAGUCCGGCAUUAUAGGUAAUGGAAUUUUGAUUUGUUCUAUGAUGGUAAAGCUCCUUGUUUAAGACUAAAAGAGUGUAUAAGACCUUACAUCCUGCUUACAUGAAU
ensembl:lncRNA